rnacentral:rRNA from 1 species
UACGGAGGAUCCGAGCGUUAUCCGGAUUUAUUGGGUUUAAAGGGAGCGUAGGCGGACGCUUAAGUCAGCUGUGAAAGUUUGGGGCUCAACCUUAAAAUUGCAGUUGAUACUGGUUUCCUUGAGUACGGUACAGGUGGGCGGAAUUCGUGGUGUAGCGGUGGAAUGCUUAGAUAUCACGAAGAACUACGAUCGCGAAGGCAGCUCACCGGGCCGGAACUGACACUGAUGCUCGAAAGUGCGGGUAUCAAACAGGAUUAGAUACCCUGGUAGUCCGCACAGUAAACGAUGAAUACUCGCUGUUUGCGAUACACUGUAAGCGGCCAAGCGAAAGCGUUAAGUAUUCCACCUGGGGAGUACGCCGGCAACGGUGAAACUCAAAUGAAUUGGCGGGG